rnacentral:rRNA from 1 species
UGCAGUCGAGCGCACCUUCGGGUGAGCGGCGGACGGGUUAGUAACGCGUGGGAACAUACCCUUUGGUACGGAAUAGCCUCUGGAAACGGAGAGUAAUACCGUAUGAGCCCUUCGGGGGAAAGAUUUAUCGCCAAAGGAUUGGCCCGCGUUAGAUUAGGUAGUUGGUGGGGUAAUGGCCUACCAAGCCUACGAUCUAUAGCUGGUUUUAGAGGAUGAUCAGCAACACUGGGACUGAGACACGGCCCAGACUCCUACGGGAGGCAGCAGUGGGGAAUCUUGGACAAUGGGGGCAACCCUGAUCCAGCCAUGCCGCGUGAGUGAUGAAGGCCUUAGGGUCGUAAAGCUCUUUCGCCUGUGAAGAUAAUGACGGUAGCAGGUAAAGAAACCCCGGCUAACUCCGUGCCAGCAGCCGCGGUAAUACGGAGGGGGUUAGCGUUGUUCGGAAUUACUGGGCGUAAAGCGCACGUAGGCGGACUGGAAAGUUGGGGGUGAAAUCCCAGGGCUCAACCCUGGAACUGCCUCCAAAACUAUCAGUCUAGAGUUCGAGAGAGGUGAGUGGAAUUCCGAGUGUAGAGGUGAAAUUCGUAGAUAUUCGGAGGAACACCAGUGGCGAAGGCGGCUCACUGGCUCGAUACUGACGCUGAGGUGCGAAAGUGUGGGGAGCAAACAGGAUUAGAUACCCUGGUAGUCCACACCGUACACGAUGAAUGCCAGUCGUCGGGUAGCAUGCUAUUCGGUGACACACCUAACGGAUUAAGCAUUCCGCCUGGGGAGUACGGUCGCAAGAUUAAA